GAUGAACGCUGGCGGCGUGCCUAAUACAUGCAAGUCGAGCGAACGGACGAGAAGCUUGCUUCUCUGAUGUUAGCGGCGGACAGGUGAGUAACACGUGGAUAACCUACCUAUAAGACUGGGAUAACUUCGGAAAACCGGAGCUAAUACCGGAUGAUAUUUUGAACCGCAUGGUUCAAAAGUGAAAGACGGUCUUGCUGUCACUUAUAGAUGGAUCCGCGCUGCAUUAGCUAGUUGGUAAGGUAACGGCUUACCAAGGCAACGAUGCAUAGCCGACCUGAGAGGGUGAUCGGCCACACUGGAACUGAGACACGGUCCAGACUCCUACGGGAGGCAGCAGUAGGGAAUCUUCCGCAAUGGGCGAAAGCCUGACGGAGCAACGCCGCGUGAGUGAUGAAGGUCUUCGGAUCGUAAAACUCUGUUAUUAGGGAAGAACAUAUGUGUAAGUAACUGUGCACAUCUUGACGGUACCUAAUCAGAAAGCCACGGCUAACUACGUG
rnacentral:rRNA from 1 species